GUCCAUUGCUUACUGACUGGGCCACCCGGAUGCCCAUUGUUGUCCUUUUUUAGUUCCUUCUUCGAUAAUAUAGGUGAUUCUACUUAUUCCCAUGCUAGAAGACUAUUUAGCAACAUCCAGUAAAAAAACAAAACAAAACAAAACAACAAAAAAACAAAUUCCUCAAAGGAUAAUAUUGACUUCAAAACCUAGUUACAAGUGCUGUAGUAAUUAUCUACCUGAAGUUGGAAUUUCUCUUCCUGUUCAAAAGUACGGUUGACCUUUUCACCAGCAGCCUUGCUAACAAAAGGGAUAAAGUUGAUACCAACUUCUUCCUUAAUACACUCAGCAAAUUCCUUUAAACAGUGGAGUACCGUUGAAAACCUUGUAGCUCUUCUUUCACUUUGCAUAAUCCUCUUACCAAACUGAUUGAAGACAAUGACCAAGAAAUAGGGAGCUUUUACAGAAUAAAUUACACUAGUUCCCCCUUCUCUGGGAUUUGGCUUUUCCGCAGUUCCAACUCCAGGCAGUCAACCCCGAUCAGAAGCAGGGGCAUCAGAAGGUCAAUCCGUAGCCUGACGCCACGUCAGUGAAGUCACAAAGUCUGCGACACGCCCCUCACUUAUCCCAUUCGGUGACGUCACAAAGUCUGCGACACGCCCCUUCCGUGAUCCCUCACACAGGCAUUUUAUCAUCUCACAUCAUCACAGGAGGGAAUUUGAAGAUUGAAUUUGGUAGUCUUCUGACCAUGUUGCUGCCAUCCAUCACUCACAAAUCAACUCAUCAUGACCUGUAACCAGGAACGAAGAGUUGCAGACUUGCCAACUAGCAAUGAAUUGAACUCAGUUGAACUCUGAUGCAGAAAAGGUUUAUUUGGAGAGAGAGCAAGAAGGGAAGGGGCAGAGAGAGGAAGAGACAGAAUCCCAAGGAGUCUCUCCACAGUCUCUGCAGAGCUCAGUUGUGGGGCUUGAACUCACAAACCCAUGAGAUCAUGACAUGAGCUGAGAUCAAGAUCCGAAAGCUUAGCCAACUAAGCCACCCAGGCACCCCUCAACGUUGAUCUUUUGAAUUACUCACUUUGGAUGAAACCAGUUGCUAUGCUGUGGUCAAGCAGUUCUGUGAAAAGAAACUGAGAUCUCCCAUGAAGAGCCAGCACCAACCAAAUGAACACCUUGGAAGUAGAUUUGCAACCAGGGUCAAGCCUUCAGAUGACGUCAGCCCCAAACAUGGACAUCUGACGGUAACUUCACGAGAGACCCCAAGCCAGAACUGCCCAGCCAAGCCACACCUAAAUUCCUGACCCACAGAAAUACAUACGAGAAUAAAUGAUUACAGUUGUGUUAA